UGGGCAAGCUUCGGCAGCACAAAUAACUAAAAUCGGAAUGAUACAGAGACAAUAAAUAUGGUCCCUGCGCAAGGAGACACGCAAAUUUGUGAGGUGCUCCAUAUUUUA
rnacentral:snRNA from 1 species